GGGGAAUUUUGGACAAUGGGGGCAACCCUGAUCCAGCCAUGCCGCGUGAGUGAAGAAGGCCUUCGGGUUGUAAAGCUCUUUCGGCCGGGAAGAAAUCGUGCAGGCUAAUACCCUGUAUGGAUGACGGUACCGGAAUAAGAAGCACCGGCUAACUACGUGCCAGCAGCCGCGGUAAUACGUAGGGUGCGAGCGUUAAUCGGAAUUACUGGGCGUAAAGCGUGCGCAGGCGGUUUUGUAAGUCAGAGGUGAAAGCCUGGAGCUCAACUCCAGAACUGCCUUUGAUACUGGAAGUCUUGAGUUCGGGAGAGGUGAGUGGAACUGCGAGUGUAGAGGUGAAAUUCGUAGAUAUUCGCAAGAACACCAGUGGCGAAGGCGGCUCACUGGCCCGAUACUGACGCUGAGGCACGAAAGCGUGGGGAGCAAACA
rnacentral:rRNA from 1 species